UACUGUGAUUCCUGCAGCUAAUACUGGAAGUGAUAGUAGAAGAAGGACAGCUGUAAUUAGUACAGAUCAAACAAAUAAUGGUGUUUGAUAUUGAGUUAUAGCUGGAGGUUUUAUAUUAAUAGUAGUAGUAAUAAAAUUAAUAGCUCCUAAAAUAGAUGAUACACCACCCAGGUGUAAAGGGAAAAUUGUUAGGUCUACAGAUGCUCCAGCGUGGGCUAGAUUUUCCACCAACCAUAAAGGUAU